rnacentral:rRNA from 1 species
AUUGAACGCUGGCGGCAUGCCUUACACAUGCAAGUCGAACGGCAGCGGGCCUUCGGGUGCCGGCGAGUGGCGAACGGGUGAGUAAUGCAUCGGAACGUGCCAUUGAGUGGGGGAGUAACGUAGCGAAAGUUGCGCUAAUACCGCAUAUUCUGUGAGCAGGAAAGACAGGGACGCAAGGCCUUGCGCUCUUUGAGCGGCCGAUGUCAGAUUAGCUAGUUGGUCAGGUAACGGCUUACCAAGGCGACGAUCUGUAGCGGGUCUGAGAGGAUGAUCCGCCACACUGGAACUGAGACACGGUCCAGACUCCUACGGGAGGCAGCAGUGGGGAAUUUUGGACAAUGGGGGCGAACCCUGAUCCAGCCAUGCCGCGUGAGUGAAGAAGGCC